GACAGAGGGUGCAAACGUUGUUCGGAAUUACUGGGCGUAAAGCGUGUGUAGGCGGCCAAGAAAGUCGGAUGUGAAAGCCCCGGGCUCAACCCGGGAAGUGCACCCGAUACUGCUUGGCUUGAGUACUGGAGAGGUUGGUGGAAUUCUCGGUGUAGAGGUGAAAUUCGUAGAUAUGGGGUGGAACACCGGUGGCGAAGGCGGCCAUCUGGACGACAACUGACGCUGAGACGCGAAAGCGUGGGGAGCAAACAGG
rnacentral:rRNA from 1 species